GCCUGGGUGGCUCAGUGGGUUAAGCAUCUGACUUCAGCUCAGGUCAUGAUCUCACAGUCCAUGGGUUCGAGCCCUGCAUCAGGCU
rnacentral:tRNA from 1 species